AUGAUUGAUCAUAUGAUCGAUAAUCCGUUUUAUGGUGACACUCGGCCCACCCUCACAGUGUUGCCCCCCUCCAGUGCUGAGCUGCAGCAGGGGAAGGCUACACUGGUGUGUGUGGGCAGUAAGGGUUUUCCCUCAGACUGGAAGCUGAGCUGGAAGGUGGGCGGGGUCAGUCCGAGCUCAGGUGUGAGUGGGGGCGGGGCUGUGCUGCAGGAGGAAAACGGUCUCUACAGCUGGAGCAGCACCCUGACCCUCACUGAGCAGCAGUGGAGGACCACCGGAGCAGUGAGCUGUGAGGCCAACAGGAGCAACCAACCCCCAGUUACCUACAGCCUCAACAAACAGCAGUGUCCUGAUUACUGA